CCAAAAUCUUGCUGCAUAUUUAAGAGCUCAUUAUCAUUGCUAAAUGUCUUCAAUAUGAUGACCUAAUGAAAAUAACCUUAUGUGAAACAUGAUGUCAACUGCACUUUCACGUCCUUCUUUCACUUUCAAAGAGAAGGUGUGUUUAAAAGAUGCAUUUAAGGGGGUAUUUAAUUCCUGAUUCCUUUUUUGUACUGUUUGGUAGGUGGUGCAUCUAAAAUUGUGAUUGAUAGAGGGGACAUCCUUGAGGCAUUUCUGGACUCGCCGUUCACUGUGGAGGUUCAUCUCGUGACUGAGGAGGAAGAACCUACACAAGGUGAACACGGCAGAUUGCUGCAGGUCUCCGCCGGCGUUCGUCUUCCUGAGAUCCAUCCAUCUAGUCUUGAUAAGAUUAUCAAGGACCUUCCAGAAAAACCCAUUUCCACAAAAUUUGGGUUUGACUUUAUUAGCUACCCUUUGAUGGAGAGAGUCUUUGAAAGCAGGGACUCUGGAGGAAGCAUGGCCCCCCUGCCGGCAGCUAAAUCUGGCAGCGCCCAGGCUGGCUCGCCACUCCCAGGGGUAGAGAGGGAGUCUGGAUCAGGAUCAGACGAGACGGUGCUGGGAAGGGGCUCCCUCGGCUACCUGGACGGUAAACCAGGAAGUAAUUGUCUUGAGGGAGACUCCACCACCCUCACGGAAUCUUUCGCAGCCAUUCCUGCUGCUCAUGAAGAUGACACCGUUGCUCCUCCAGCAUGUCAACGGACUGUAGACGGCCAAGCAAAAUUCACUGACUUGCUGCUAGCCCCACCACCUCCUGAUUACAAGCUAUUUGAGCUGAUGGAUGAGAUGGAGAAGAAAAACCACAAGACGUCUGCCAGCAAGACCAGCAUAGACAAACAGGCAGUGGUGAAAAGUGGGAGCAGGUAAAUAAAUCAGGAUAACAGAUUAGAAAUAACUGAGUCUUUGCAUCUUUGAAUAACCACCUUUAAAUUGAUUCACUGACUGACUCUGGACACAAUAUGAUGACUGUGGAAAUUCUGUCACCCACUCUGGCCUCUUCACUUUUUAUAUUGUCAGAAGUCCUUAUCAUAAUGGAUUUAAUUUGCAAAUCUCACUGCUUAUUAACAUGAAAUACUCUAAAUGCCCAUCUGCACUUCUUUUGUUCAGAUGUAAUAAGCUUGACGGCACAACAACUAAUUGUGCGAUUUAAGGGAUGUUGAUGGGUAUGCUGAUUAAAUAAAAGAAUAUUUAUAUUUAAUAAUAUUUAUAGUGAUUUAAAACCAAAUUCCUAUUUUCUUGUCUAUAUCAUCUUAUAGCAUCUGUUACUUAUUCACAAAAUUCAUCAGGGGCAUUGUAGUUAAAUGGGGCAACAUAAGUAUUGCCCCUACACCAACAUGAUUUGGAUCAGGUGGAGCCAGCCACCCUGUGCUUGGUGAUGUGAAGUUAAAUUGUGGUCAGGAUGUCUGAGAGGUAUUAUGCUCACCAGGCACUCAUAAUGAGUUAAAAUAAUAAUUGGC
ensembl:lncRNA